CCAGUAGUCAUAUGCUUGUCUCAAAGAUUAAGCCAUGCAUGUCUAAGUAUAAGCAAUCAUACUGUGAAACUGCGAAUGGCUCAUUAAAUCAGUUAUCGUUUAUUUGAUAGUACCUUUACCUGGAUAACCGUGGUAAUUCUAGAGCUAAUACAUGCUAAAAACCCCGACUUCGGAAGGGGUGUAUUUAUUAGAUAAAAAACCAAUGCCCUCUGGGCUCCUUGGUGAUUCAUAAUAACUUAACGAAUCGCAUGGCCUUGCGCCGGCGAUGGUUCAUUCAAAUUUCUGCCCUAUCAACUUUCGAUGGUAAGAUAGAGGCUUACCAUGGUCUUAACGGGUAACGGAGAAUUAGGGUUCGAUUCCGGAGAGGGAGCCGGAGGAACGGCUACCACAUCCAAGGAAGGCAGCAGGCGCGCAAAUUACCCAAUGCUAAUUCAGCGAGGUAGUGACAAUAAAUACUGAUACGGGGCUCUUUCGGGUCUCGUAAUUGGAAUGAGUACAAUCUAAAUCCCUUAACGAGGAACAAUUGGAGGGCAAGUCUGGUGCCAGCAGCCGCGGUAAUUCCAGCUCCAAUAGCGUAUAUUAAAGUUGUUGCCGUUAAAAAGCUCGUAGUUGAACCUUGGACCUGGCUGAUCUGUCCUCCUAAUCGAGCGCACGGAUUCGGUCGGGUCUUUCCUUCUGGGGAGCCCUAUGCCCUUCACUGGGUGUAGUGGGGAACCAGGACUUUUACCUUGAAAAAAUUAGAGUGUUCAAAGCAGGCCUUUGCUCGAAUACAUUAGCAUGGAAUAAUAGAAUAGGACAUCGGUUCUAUUUUGUUGGUUUCUAGGACCGCUGUAAUGAUAAUAGGGAUAGUCCGGGGCGUCAGUAUUCAAUUGUCAGAGGUGAAUUCUUGGAUUUAUUAAAGACUAACUACUGCGAAAGCAUUGCCAAGGAUGUUUUCCUUUAUCAGUGACGAGG
rnacentral:rRNA from 1 species